rnacentral:rRNA from 1 species
UACAGAGGGGGCAAGCGUUGUUCGGAAUUACUGGGCGUAAAGGGCGCGUAGGCGGCCUGUUAAGUCGAACGUGAAAUCCCUGGGCUCAACCCAGGAACUGCGUCCGAUACUGGCAGGCUUGAGUUCGGGAGAGGAAUGUGGAAUUCCAGGUGUAGCGGUGAAAUGCGUAGAUAUCUGGAGGAACACCGGUGGCGAAGGCGGCAUUCUGGACCGAAACUGACGCUGAGGCGCGAAAGCCAGGGGAGCAAACGGG